GCAUCAUGGCUGCAUCUGAUAUAUAUUCUUAUUAAACCAUACUUUUUUCUCCAACUGGAGUAAUAUGUCACAGUUGCUAAAAUGACAGAAGAAUCUGAAGAGCUAAGUGUAUAAGUCAUAUUGGUCACAUUAUUAUGAGAAGCUUACUUGAAAGUUGAAAAAAAGAAGAAGAUCAUGCUUUGCUUGAAGACAGAUCUACUGAACUUCAGAUGCCAAAGUAUGAGGUGUCAACCUGAGAUAUUAAUGGUGUCUAAAGAAAAAUCGUGUUGCACUUCUGAAGGACCUCCCACACAUAUCUCUUGGAAGAUCUCCACUGAAGCAACAAAAACAGCUCCCAGUUGGAGCCAAAAUACACCUUUAGCCUCAAACAUCAGUCUUCCAGCAGCAUGA
rnacentral:lncRNA from 1 species